rnacentral:rRNA from 1 species
CCUACGGGAGGCUGCAGUGAGGAAUAUUGGUCAAUGGACGAGAGUCUGAACCAGCCAAGUAGCGUGAAGGAUGACUGCCCUAUGGGUUGUAAACUUCUUUUAUAAAGGAAUAAAACGAGGCACGUGUGCCUUUUUGCAUGUACUUUAUGAAUAAGGAUCGGCUAACUCCGUGCCAGCAGCCGCGGUAAUACGGAGGAUCCGAGCGUUAUCCGGAUUUAUUGGGUUUAAAGGGAGCGUAGAUGGGUUGUUAAGUCAGUUGUGAAAGUUUGCGGCUCAACCGUAAAAUUGCAAUUGAUACUGGCAGUCGUGAGUACAGUUGAGGGAGGCGGAAUUCGUGGUGUAGCGGUGAAAUGCUUAGAUAUCACGAAGAACCCCGAUUGCGAAGGCAGCUUACUAAACUGUGACUGACAUUGAUGCUCGAAAGUGUGGGUAUCAAACAGGAUUAGAUACCCGGGUAGUC